CAGUGCUGCAGCAGGGCAGAAAACUGGGCCAAGUUCCCAGGGUAUGAAUACCACUUCUGCACCUGGUCUGCAGACACACCCAGGUGGGCUCAGGUGUGUGAGUGCCACUUCUCCUGGUCACAGGCACACCCAGGUAGGCUCAGGUGUGUGAAUGCCACUUCUCCUGGUCACAGGCACACUCAGGUGGGCUCAGGUGUGUGAAUACCACUUCUCCUGCUCACAGGCACGCUCAGGUAGGCUCAGGUGUAUGAGUGCCACUUCUCCUGGUCACAGGCACGCUCAGGUGGGCUCAGGUGUGUGAGUGCCACUUCUCCUGGUCACAGGCACACUCAGGUGGGCUCAGGUGUGUGAGUGCCACUUCUCCUGGUCACAGGCACACUCAGGUAGGCUCAGGUGUGUGAGUGCCACUUCUCCCGGUCACAGGCACGCUCAGGUAGGCUCAGGUGUAUGAGUGCCACUUCUCCUGGUCACAGGCAGGCCCAGGUGGGCUCAGGUGUGUGAAUACCACUUCUCCUGGUCACAGGCACGCUCAGGUGUGUGAAUACCACUUCUCCUGGACACAGGCACACCCAGGUAGGCUCAGGUGUGUGAGCGCCACUUCUCCUGGUCACAGGCACGCCCAGGUAGGCUCAGGUGUGUAGGUGCCACUUCUCCUGGUCACAGGUACGCCCAGGUAGGCUCAGGUGAGUGAAUACCACUUCUCCUGGACACAGGCACACCCAGGUAGGCUCAGGUGUGUGAAUACCACUUCUCCUGGUCACAGGCACACUCAGGUAGGCUCAGGUGUGUGAAUACCACUUCUCCUGGUCACAGGCACGCUCAGGUAGGCUCAGGUGUGUGAGUGCCACUUCUCCUGGUCACAGACACGCCCAGGUAGGCUCAGGUGUGUGAGUGCCACCUCUCCUGGUUAUAGGCACACCCAGGUAGGCUCAGGCGGUCCAAGGAGGGGCCUGGCAUCUCAG